CCUACGGGAGGCAGCAGUGAGGAAUCUUGGUCAAUGGACGCAAGUCUGAACCAGCCAUGCCGCGUGCAGGAAGACGGCUCUAUGAGUUGUAAACUGCUUUUGUACGAGGGUAAACGCAGAUACGCGUAUCUGUCUGAAAGUAUCGUACGAAUAAGGAUCGGCUAACUCCGUGCCAGCAGCCGCGGUAAUACGGAGGAGUCAAGCGUUAUCCGGAUUUAUUGGGUUUAAAGGGUGCGUAGGCGGUCGGAUAAGUUAGAGGUGAAAUCCCGAGGCGCAACUUCGGAAUUGCCGCUGAUACUGUUCGGCGAGAGAGUAGUUGCGGUAGGCGGAAUGUAUGGUGUAGCGGUGAAAUGCUUAGAGAUCAUACAGAACACCGAUUGCGAAGGCAGCUUACCAAGCUACUUCUGACGUUGAGGCACGAAAGCGUGGGGAGCAAACAGGAUUAGAUACCCUGGUAGUC
rnacentral:rRNA from 1 species